UGUUUCGACACACUAUCAUUAACUGAAUCCAUAGGUUAAUGAGGCGAACCGGGGGAACUGAAACAUCUAAGUACCCCGAGGAAAAGAAAUCAACCGAGAUUCCCCCAGUAGCGGCGAGCGAACGGGGAGGAGCCCAGAGCCUGAAUCAGUGUGUGUGUUAGUGGAAGCGUCUGGAAAGGCGCGCGAUACAGGGUGACAGCCCCGUACACAAAAAUGCACAUACUGUGAGCUCGAUGAGUAGGGCGGGACACGUGGUAUCCUGUCUGAAUAUGGGGGGACCAUCCUCCAAGGCUAAAUACUCCUGACUGACCGAUAGUGAACCAGUACCGUGAGGGAAAGGCGAAAAGAACCCCGGCGAGGGGAGUGAAAAAGAACCUGAAACCGUGUACGUACAAGCAGUGGGAGCCUCUUAAUGGGGUGACUGCGUACCUUUUGUAUAAUGGGUCAGCGACUUAUAUUCUGUAGCAAGGUUAACCGAAUAGGGGAGCCGAAGGGAAACCGAGUCUUAACUGGGCGUUAAGUUGCAGGGUAUAGACCCGAAACCCGGUGAUCUAGCCAUGGGCAGGUUGAAGGUUGGGUAACACUAACUGGAGGACCGAACC
rnacentral:rRNA from 1 species